CUACGGGUUGCUCCAGUGGGGAAUAUUGCACAAUGGGCGCAAGCCUGAUGCAGCCAUGCCGCGUGUAUGAAGAAGGCCUUCGGGUUGUAAAGUACUUUCAGCGGGGAGGAAGGGAGUAAAGUUAAUACCUUUGCUCAUUGACGUUACCCGCAGAAGAAGCACCGGCUAACUCCGUGCCAGCAGCCGCGGUAAUACGGAGGGUGCAAGCGUUAAUCGGAAUUACUGGGCGUAAAGCGCACGCAGGCGGUUUGUUAAGUCAGAUGUGAACUCCCCGGGCUCAACCUGGGAACUGCAUCUGAUACUGGCAUGCUUGAGUCUCGUAGAGGGGGGUAGAAUUCCAGGUGUAGCGGUGAAAUGCGUAGAGAUCUGGAGGAAUACCGGUGGCGAAGGCGGCCCCCUGGACGAAGACUGACGCUCAGGUGCGAAAGCGUGGGGAGCAAACAGGAUUAGAUACCCCCGUAGUC
rnacentral:rRNA from 1 species